AUCCAAGUAAUUUUGGACUAUUUUCAGAGAAUUAGCUGUGCCAUUAAUAUCAGUUUCUGACAGAACUCAUUCCAGCUGGAAAAAACUCUCUCCAUUUGAAUCAUCAAUGCUCCUGCCACUUGAGAAUGCCAUGUAUUUCAGUAUAAAAUUGGGUUCAUCUCAUAGUUACUAAAUCAUCAAAUCUCAAACUAGCCAUGGAUGUAGCAACUCCCCAUUUCAGUCACCUUGUCACAGUGUUGAUCAUCCACUGUUUAUUGGUUAGUUCUUCCACUGCUGAAACCAACAUCACCACGGACCAAUCUGCUCUUUUGGCCCUGAAAACUUACAUCAUUUCAGACCCUUAUGGACUCAUGGCAAACUGGACGGUGCCAUCUUCGAUUUGCAAUUGGAUUGGAGUCACCUGUGGUGCUCGCCAUCAUCGAGUAACUGCAUUGAAUAUUUCCAACAUGGGUCUCACUGGAAGCAUCCCUCCUGAAAUUGGAAACCUUUCAUUCCUUACUGCAUUCGAAAUUAGUAACAACAACUUCAGUGGAGCUUUGCCCGAAGAUUUGGCUCGCCUGCGAAGAUUGAGAUACAUUGGGAUCAGUCAAAACAGGUUCACUGGGGAUGUUCCUUCCUGGUUUGCAUCCUUCUCUCAGCUUCAAUUGUUAUCUAUUUGGAACAAUAACUUUACUAGCUUGAAUUCAUUUCUUCUCUCCUCCAUAAAUCAAUCAAAGCUUACUGGUCUGGAUGUGUCAUCCAAUCUUUUUCAAGGAGAAAUUCCAAAGUCCAUAGGCAAUCUUGUUAGCCUUAAAGGGCUUAUGAUGCAAGGCAAUAGAUUUUCAGGGUUCCUUCCUCCCUCAAUCAUGAACUUGACGAAUCUAGAGACUUUGGAACUUUCCGACAAUCUACUUCAAGGAAUGAUACCAGAAGAAAUCUUUAGCAAGCUUCACAAGUUGAAAUGGUUGAACCUGCAAAACAACAAAUUCAAUGGUUCUAUACCAUUAAGCAUCUUCAACAUGUCGAUGCUGGAAGUACUGUCUUUAGCCAAUAAUAGUUUAUCAGGUACUCUUCCUACGAGCCUUCAACUUCCAAUGCUGACAGCGCUCCAACUGGCGGACAAUGAAAUUAGUGGGCAAAUUCCAUCAAAUUUAUCUUCAUGCCAUCAGCUUCAGAAGCUAUCACUGGCAAAAAACAUGAUUACUGGGCGUAUACCAGAAGAUAUUGGAAGGUUAAGCAUGCUUCAAAUGGUGUUUCUCGGCAGCAACAUGUUAUCAGGUGCAAUCCCACCAGAUAUUGGCAAACUUCACAAUCUUCAGUCCCUUUAUUUGGAACGCAACUUGUUCACCGGAGCCAUACCAUCAACCAUGUUCAAUCUCUCGAUUCUACAACAGUUGAGCUUGUAUCACAACAAUUUGAGUGGAUCGUUAGCUGAAAGUUUUGGGAACCUGACCAAGCUAAAUUCCCUUAUUUUAGCCGAAAAUAGUUUCACAGGUGUGAUACCUCAAGUGUUCCAUAAACUGAAUGAACUGGAGAUAUUAGUCAUGGAGUUAAAUAGAUUAACUGGCCCUUUGCCUUCCUCUAUAUUCAACAUCUCAACAUUGAGAAUUAUUUCUUUUUCAAAAAAUAGGUUAUCAGGCAAUCUUCCAACAAAUUUAGGUACUUAUCUACCCAAUCUUGAAAAACUCCUCCUUGGAUCUAAUAAUCUGAAAGGAGUUAUACCAAACUCUAUUUCAAAUUCUACCCAACUCAGGAUUCUAGACCUGGGGGGGAAUCAACUCACUGGGUCAAUUCCCACCUCUUUGGGUGACUUAACGUUCUUAGAAACUGUUCUGUUGUUGAGGAACAAUCUCUCAUCUUCAUUAUCUGAGUUGAAAUUCAUCACUUCCCUGACAAAUUCUAGGUUUUUGAAACAAUUGGACGUCAGCGGUAAUCCAUUAAAUGGGAUUCUUCCUACAACUGUUGGGAAUCUCUCUCAUUCCCUACAAGAUUUUUAUGCAUCGGGAUGCAUGAUAAAGGGUUACAUCCCUACUGAAAUCGGUAAUCUGAGUGGGUUAGUGAGAUUGUAUCUUGAUACAAAUGAUAUGACAGGAGUGAUUCCAAGUGCACUUGCAGCAUCUAAUCUUCAGGUGUUGGUUCUUGACAAUAAUCGACUGACCGGAAUUAUUCCAAAUGAGCUCUGCAAAUUGAAGUCUUUGGGAGGCCUGUCUUUAGGCUAUAAUCAGCUAAUAGGUUCCAUUCCAAAUUGCUUGGGAAAUGUGUCCUCUUUAAGGUAUAUACUGCUCAAUUCCAAUAACUUGACCUCUGUUGUGCCUGCUAGCAUCUGGAGUCUGCAAGAUCUCUUGCAAUUAAAUAUUUCCUCAAAUUACUUCACUGGCACUCUAUCUCCCCAAAUUGGAAAUAUGAAGGCAGCUACAAUCAUCGAUCUGUCAAUGAAUCAGUUCUCAAAUGACAUUCCCAACACCUUCACAAGUUUACAAAGUGUGUCUUAUCUUUCUCUGGCACAUAAUAGAUUUCAUGGUCACAUUCCUGAUACUUUGGGCAGCAUGUUGAGUUUGGAUUCACUAGAUCUGUCGUAUAAUAUGCUUUCUGGAGCAAUUCCCAAGUCUUUGGAGUCCCUAACACAGCUUAAGUACUUUAAUGUUUCUUUCAAUGAACUCUCUGGAGAGAUUCCUACCAAUGGCCCUUUUGAAAAUUUCACAAGCCAAUCCUUUGAACAUAAUUCUGCACUGUGUGGUCCUCCUAGAUUGCAGGUUACACGCUGCCAAGUACCACCGCGCCGAUUAAAGAAAAAGAUAAUACUUCGAGUUGUAUUCAUUAUUCUAGGAGUUGCAGUGUUGGUGUUUCUAUGCAGCAUGGCCUAUUUAAUGGUCCAGUAUAACAAGAGAAAGAGGCCAACCAUUGUAAGAGACAUGCCUGACACAACAAGGCCUCAAAGAAUGUCUUAUUACGAGCUUAUGAAGGCAACUAAGGGAUGCGAUGAAGGCAAUUUGCUCGGAAGGGGAAGUUUUGGCUCUGUGUACAAAGGCAUCCUUGAAGAUGGGACCAUUUUGGCUAUAAAAGUUUUUGACAUGCUGCAAGAAGUAGCAUCCAAGAGCUUUGAGGCUGAAUGUGAUGCAUUUCGUAAUCUCCGUCACAGAAAUCUCAUUAAAGUAGUUGGCAGCUGUGCAAAUGAAGAUUUCAAGGCCAUAGUGCUAGAGUACAUGCCUAAUGGAAGUUUGGAGAAGUGGCUGUACUCAGACAACCAAUUUCUGGAUAUCAUUCAGAGAUUGAACACAAUGUGGGACGUGGCUAACGCGCUGGAAUAUCUUCACCAUGGCUACUCGACAUCUGUGGUUCAUUGCGAUGUAAAGCCUAGCAAUGUACUCUUGGAUGACAACAUGGUUGCCCAUUUAAGUGAUUUCGGCAUCAUAAAAUUUUUGAGUGAACAAGAGAGCACCACUCAUACUAGGACUCUUGCAACACUCGGCUACAUGGCUCCAGAGUAUGGAAUGGAGGGAAGAGUCUCCAAAAAAUGUGAUGUGUACAGUUACGGAAUCAUGCUAUUGGAGACCCUCACUGCAAGACGGCCCUCUGAUGAGAUGUUCCAUGGAGAAAUGACCCUCAGGAAUUGGGUGAAAGAGUCACUGCCCAAUGCACUAAGUAGUGUUAUUGAUGCAAGUUUGAUAAGCCCCAAUGAAACAAAUAUUAAUGAGAAGUUGUGUUGUGCAUCAUCUGUGAUGGAGUUAGCUCUGAAAUGCUCUGCAGAUUCUCCGGGAGAGAGGAUAAGCAUGAAAGAUGUUGUUGCGGAAUUAACCAAAAUCAAAGCUAAGCUUAUGCUGCAGCACCCUGGAAACUCGAAAUUGCUGUCUGCGCAAGGGAACGGUGAAAAGGGGAUUCUUGGUUUCCAGUAGAAAGAGGAAACAAAAUUAAGAAAACUUGGUUCGGUGGAUAGAACGGCCCUGUCAACAAACAUUGCACCCUCCCCUUUUCCAUGGACGCUUCAAGCUCAAGGGUUUUCGUCUCUCCCCGAUGUCAUCUAUCAGGCCCAUCUGAUUUCUUGACCAGAAAGCACAAAAAACCCUGUUUGGUGAGGGGUGGUUGUUGCCGAUGUGAUUCAGCAUCUGUAUUAUACGAUAUAAUACUACUAUCCGCAAUUUUAGGCUAAGGAGAUAGACACUGAAUACGUCAACCAAGACAAAGGGCCGGUGAUGUACCCUCAGCUGUUAAAUAUGGCUUCUGUUUCACUUGCCGAGCAAGAGCUGGACCCUAAAAUAUCCAAAUUUUGGAAUGAACCG